GCCGCUGUGGUGGAAUUGGCAGACGCGCCUGACUCAAAAUCAGGUGGGGGCAACCCCGUGCCGGUUCAAUUCCGGCCAGCGGCA
rnacentral:tRNA from 1 species